GGGGUUGUGGCUCAGUGGUAUUGCGCUUGCCUCAUAUGCAUGGGGCACUGGGUUCGAUUCCUCAGCACCA
rnacentral:tRNA from 1 species